UACGAAGGGGACUAGCGUUGUUCGGAAUCACUGGGCGUAAAGCGCACGUAGGCGGAUUUGUAAGUCAGGGGUGAAAUCCCGGGGCUCAACCUCGGAACUGCCUUUGAUACUGCGAGUCUUGAGUCCGAUAGAGGUGGGUGGAAUUCCUAGUGUAGAGGUGAAAUUCGUAGAUAUUAGGAAGAACACCAGUGGCGAAGGCGGCCCACUGGAUCGGUACGUGACGCUGAGGUGCGAAAGCGUGGGGAGCAAACAGGGAUUAAGAAACCCUGGG
rnacentral:rRNA from 1 species